rnacentral:rRNA from 1 species
UACCAGCACCCCGAGUGGUCGGGACGUUUAUUGGGCCUAAAGCAUCCGUAGCCGGUUCUACAAGUCUUCCGUUAAAUCCAUCUGCUUAACAGAUGGGCUGCGGAAGAUACUAUAGGGCUAGGAGGCGGGAGAGGCAAGCGGUACUCAGUGGGUAGGGGUAAAAUCCUCUGAUCCAUUGAAGACCACCAGUGGCGAAGGCGGCUUGCCAGAACGCGCUCGACGGUGAGGGAUGAAAGCUGGGGGAGCAAACCGG